AAAUGGUGGACUGAAUUAGCCUUCAUCAUCAGGGAGGUCAGGAGGGCUGAGGAGGAACAAAAUGGUGGACUGAAUUAGCCUUCAUCAUGAGGGAGGUCAGGAGGGCUGAGGGGGAACAAAAUGGUGGACUGAAUUAGCCUUCAUCAUGAGGGGAGGUCAGGAGGGCUGAGGGGGAACAAAAUGGUGGACUGAAUUAGCCUUCAUCAUCAGGGAGGUCAGGAGGGCUGAGGAGGAACAAAAUGGUGGACUGAAUUAGCCUUCAUCAUCAGGGAGGUCAGGAGGGCUGAGGGGGAACAAAAUGGUGGACUGAAUUAGCCUUCAUCAUCAGGGAGGUCAGGAGGGCUGAGGGGGAACAAAAUGGUGGACUGAUUUAGCCUUCAUCAUCAGGGAGGUCAGGAGGGCUGAGGGGGAACAAAAUGGUGGACUGAAUUAGCCUUCAUCAGUUGUUAUAAAGACUGUCACUACAAGCU